UUGCCUUCAAGUAAUCCUCAAACCCUAGGUCCCGAUGGAUUUGGCUGUUUCAGAUCCACUGUAUCUCUCUUCCCUUUCUUCUCUCUCCCUACACAAAUGGAACCUCUCGCAUCAUCUCCUCGAGACCCAUCGUCUUCUUCAGCUUUCUCAAGCGCUCCUCAUCUCUCACUUUCGUCAAGACCUCCUCCAACCAAAUCGAGAUGUUCUUCUUCGAGGAUGAAACCCCAGAAAUAACUUCCAGUGCCGUCUAUGCCCUGCCGUCUCCUCCAGAAGUUUCGUCCCGCCGCCUUAUUUCGAGAAGGAGCAGACGAGACAGAGGUAUAGAUCGCGACGGCUUUCGAGGAACUGUAUGGUCCGGUAGAUAGCAGAGAGAGCAUGCUCGGAAAGAACAUUAAGACCUUAAAGGUAUGGCCUUUCCUCUCUAUCUCUUCUGUACCUUCUGUGAGUAUUUCUUACAGAGAGAAUCUAAUUGAUUCUGGGUUUUGAUUUUGUGCAGGACUUGUUAUUGUUUUUAAGUAUUUAGGGAUUUUCAUAAAAAGAAAAAGGUACCUUUUUUCAUUGUUCAUUGAAACAAAGGUUGAAAUUUCUUACAAAACCCCUAUCUGAUUUGGUAGUUUUGCUCAGAGAUUUUGAGUGGGUUUUGCUGUUUACUUGGUUUUUAAUGUUUGAAUACAGAUAUGAAGUGCUGUGAGAAAAUUUGGUGACAAGAGUCUAUAUUGUUGUCAAUGAUUCUUGUGUUUUUUUUGGUGUUAUCGUGUUCCAAAAGUCUUUCUAUAGGAUAAAUAAACCGUGAAAGCUUGGUUUUGUUUUGGAGUUGUUAGUUUCAUAGGAACGGGAAGAAGAAUGUAGAAAGUUGGCUCUUGUAGUUUGAUCUCCUUUGAAUGUUGGCUUCAUAGUAUCUGUAUCCUUAUGGUUUGUUCUGAAAGAAGCAUUGUUUUGCACAGGUCUUCCAUCUUCUAUUUCUACUGCUGUUCUUGCUAGCAGCUCUGCCACUACAACACAUAUAUCCCUUGAUGUGGCUUCGAGUAUUAGGAUAUGUAGCAAGUUUAAUGAUAACCUCUCAGUUAUUGGAUUUUGUUUCCAGGUACUCCGUACUUGGCACUGGAAUACGCACAAAGCAGGACUCGGACUGAUAUAAUCAUAUGUUUUGUCAAAGUUUGUUUGAUUUCUUUACUGUUACUUUUGUGUUGUGUUCUUCCUCGUGCAGGAGGAAGCUAAGUCGGUUGGCCAUCUGCAGAGUGAGGGAAUGGCCUAGUUCCAGUUCUUCACCAUUCGAUUUUGCAUAGUAUCAACAUGAGUAGAUGAUUCUUGGUGAAAACAGAAAAACUGGUUUGAUUACAUGUGAACCUUUGACAGGUUCAGAAGUUUGAGCCAAACAACCCUAAGGACAAAGAGGAUAUUGCUUAAAAUUCUCCACUAAAGGCGAUAAAGAUCAAGCUUGAGAUCCGAGGACGAUGCUGAGCAACCUAUCCUUUAUUCACAAGUUUAUUUACAAGCUGUAUAAUCUUAUUUUUAAUUAUGUACGUUUACUUUGUAAUACUGAUCUUUUGUAUCAUGGUUUCAUGUUAUGAAAAUAUAGUUUUUUUAAAA